UGGGGGAUAUUGCACAAUGGGCGAAAGCCUGAUGCAGCGACGCCGCGUGGGGGAUGAAGGCUUUCGGGUUGUAAACCUCUUUCGCUAUCGUACAAGGCCCGCUUAGGGUGGGUUGAGGGUAGGUGGAGAAGAAGCGCCGGCUAACUACGUGCCAGCAGCCGCGGUAAUACGUAGGGCGCGAGCGUUGUCCGGAAGUAUUGGGCGUAAAGGGUUUGUAGGCGGCUUGUUGCGCCUGCUGUGAAAACGCGGGGCUUAACUUCGCGCGUGCAGUGGGUACGGGCAGGCUUGAGUGUGGUAGGGGUGACUGGAAUUCCAGGUGUAGCGGUGGAAUGCGCAGAUAUCUGGAGGAACACCGAUGGCGAAGGCAGGUCACUGGGCCAUUACUGACGCUGAGGAGCGAAAGCAUGGGUAGCGAACAGG
rnacentral:rRNA from 1 species